rnacentral:rRNA from 1 species
GUAGCGGCGAGCGAACGGGGAGCAGCCCAGAGCCUGAAUCAGUGUGUGUGUUAGUGGAAGCGUCUGGAAAGGCGCGCGAUACAGGGUGACAGCCCCGUACACAAAAAUGCACAUACUGUGAGCUCGAUGAGUAGGGCGGGACACGUGGUAUCCUGUCUGAAUAUGGGGGGACCAUCCUCCAAGGCUAAAUACUCCUGACUGACCGAUAGUGAACCAGUACCGUGAGGGAAAGGCGAAAAGAACCCCGGCGAGGGGAGUGAAAAAGAACCUGAAACCGUGUACGUACAAGCAGUGGGAGCACGCUUAGGCGUGUGACUGCGUACCUUUUGUAUAAUGGGUCAGCGACUUAUAUUCUGUAGCAAGGUUAACCGAAUAGGGGAGCCGAAGGGAAACCGAGUCUUAACUGGGCGUUAAGUUGCAGGGUAUAGACCCGAAACCCGGUGAUCUAGCCAUGGGCAGGUUGAAGGUUGGGUAACACUAACUGGAGGACCGAACCGACUAAUGUUGAAAAAUUAGCGGAUGACUUGUGGCUGGGGGUGAAAGGCCAAUCAAACCGGGAGAUAGCUGGUUCUCCCCGAAAGCUAUUUAGGUAGCGCCUCGUGAAUUCAUCUCCGGGGGUAGAGCACUGUUUCGGCAAGGGGGUCAUCCCGACUUACCAACCCGAUGCAAACUGCGAAUACCGGAGAAUGUUAUCACGGGAGACACACGGCGGGUGCUAACGUCCGUCGUGAAGAGGGAAACAACCCAGACCGCCAGCUAAGGUCCCAAAGUCAUGGUUAAGUGGGAAACGAUGUGGGAAGGCCCAGACAGCCAGGAUGUUGGCUUAGAAGCAGCCAUCAUUUAAAGAAAGCGUAAUAGCUCACUGGUCGAGUCGGCCUGCGCGGAAGAUGUAACGGGGCUAAACCAUGCACCGAAGCUGCGGCAGCGACGCUGAUGCGUUGUUGGGUAGGGGAGCGUUCUGUAAGCCUGUGAAGGUGUGCUGUGAGGCAUGCUGGAGGUAUCAGAAGUGCGAAUGCUGACAUAAGUAACGAUAAAGCGGGUGAAAAGCCCGCUCGCCGGAAGACCAAGGGUUCCUGUCCAACGUUAAUCGGGGCAGGGUGAGUCGACCCCUAAGGCGAGGCCGAAAGGCGUAGUCGAUGGGAAACAGGUUAAUAUUCCUGUACUUGGUGUUACUGCGAAGGGGGGACGGAGAAGGCUAUGUUGGCCGGGCGACGGUUGUCCCGGUUUAAGCGUGUAGGCUGGUUUUCCAGGCAAAUCCGGAAAAUCAAGGCUGAGGCGUGAUGACGAGGCACUACGGUGCUGAAGCAACAAAUGCCCUGCUUCCAGGAAAAGCCUCUAAGCAUCAGGUAACAUCAAAUCGUACCCCAAACCGACACAGGUGGUCAGGUAGAGAAUACCAAGGCGCUUGAGAGAACUCGGGUGAAGGAACUAGGCAAAAUGGUGCCGUAACUUCGGGAGAAGG